rnacentral:lncRNA from 1 species
CUCUGCCUCCCGCUGGGCAGAGAGGAGAGGGAGGAGGCCAGCGAGAGGGAGCCUGUGUCGGGGCGUGGGAGGGAAGCAGGAUAACGCAGGCGACCCGAGAAGGAGGGUGAAUCUGACUGGCAAGACGGGAAAGCCCAGGCCUUCCAGCGGCUGGAAUCCAUCUAGAGACCCGCUGAGGAGAGCCCACACUCGCCUCUUGCUCGCAGCAAUCUAUUGUUCUGGGGAAUUCCCUGGAACACAAGGAUCCUGGAGCUCUAAGCGACCUUAAAGAGCAUCUGGUCCUGCUCCUUCCUUCAGCCAUGAUAAAACUUGGGGUGGGAAGACUGUUCAUGCUGGGUUUUCUCUGGGAGUGAGACCUCAGGACGGUUUUGGCUGUUUCUACUAGGAACACAAACUAAAUAAACCAGGCCCUCUGUAGCAAGGGCUAAUUCUUCCAGAAACUUCUGAAUAAAUCAUUCUAUUUGACAAACAUUUAUGAACUACAGGAGGAAGUGACUCUUAAAGUGAGAAAAGUUUUCCAGAAAGGAAGGGCAGCAUGAGCAAAAGCUCAGAGAUACUAAUCAGCAUCAACCAAAUCAUUCAUUUCUAUAAUAAUUUUAUGUAAAGUACCUGACAGAUGCAUAUGUGCAAAGUAAUGUACUAGGAUCUCCACCAGGCAUAGAUAAGAAAUUAUUGUUUCUGUAAUCUAAUUGAUUCCAGUAUAGUAGAGUAGAUAUGUCAUGCACAUGAAUCAGUAAAAUAUAAGUCAAGAUCUCUGUAAGAGCUCUUCAAGCCAAGUGCCACAGGGCUUAAGGGAGGGAGAGGCUUCAUUUGACUAUGAUGAUCUGAUAAGGUUUGAUGGAGGUGUUAUUCAAGCUGGACCAUGAAGAAUGAGAAGGAUUUCAACAGGUAGAGACAACAGUGGGCCACAGAUGGGGAAGAUACAGCAGAUAGCAGGAAAAGACUAACAAACAGAAACAGAGCAGUAUGGUUUAAUCUAAUUUGGCAGGGAAAUUACCCUCUCUUCCCUUUUAUAGGAGCAGGGUAGGAAGAAGGCUGGGAUGUGGGUGUUAGCAUAUUUGUUGUUAUGCUGUUGCAUUCUUUACACAGGUGGCCCAUCAGGCUCCUGUUGACCUCCUGCUCUUCCAGGAUAGGCAUAUUUGUGGGUACCAUGUGCCCAAUGAGCUGGGCCACCCAACCCCUUCUAGUGCCAGACUUGCAUGACCUUAUAGGAAGUUAUUCGUGCUAUGAAAAUACAAUGACUUCUCUGCAGUUCUGAUGUGUUUUUAUUUUGCUUCUAUCCCAUGUACCUUCUUAGCAAAAUUCCUUUUGUAAAGAAUGAAUGAAGGAAGCUUAUCCACAGCUGAGCCCACGGUUGGGGGAAACAGCACCCUGGAGGAUGCUUUGGUAGUGACCAGCAUUCCAUCUAAAGAAUGGAGGUUGGGGGAUGGAACUAGGACACACAAAACCUCAAACUCUUUUCUUCUGAACUUUCUUUGCUUGCCUAUUUGGUUUGUUGCCCAGGAUUGUGUGCUGAUAGAGACAAAUACUAUAAGUGAAACAGCCUGCAGCAUAAUUAUACAUGGGGGUUGCUGAAAAUGCAAAUUUCUGGGCCCUGUAUCAGUCCUGCUGUAUUGGAAUCACUAAGAAUGAGGACCAAGAACUUUCAUUUUUUAACUUCUUGCUGUUAUUUUUUAAAAAUCAACUUUACUGACUUACAAUUUAUAUCCAGUAAUAGGCACUCAUCUUGAUUGCACAGUUCAAUGAAUUUUGACAAAUAUAUACAUCUCCGUAGUCACCACUACAAUCAAAAUUUCCAUUAUUGCAAAAAGUAACCUCAUGCCCCAUUGCAGUCAAUCCUCCCCUCCUCAGCACCAGUUAACCACUGAUCUGCUUUCCAUCAAUAUAUGUUAUUUGUGCCUCUUAUGGAAUUUCACAUAAAUGGAAAUCAUACAGCAUGUACUACUUCAUGUCUUUCUUUUUUGCUCAGCAUAGUGCUUUUGAGGCUUAAUCAUUCUGUUAUGGGAAUCUCUCGUUUGUUCCUUUUAUUUUUGAGUCGUAUUCACAAUAGAUAUACCAUCACUUAUGUAUUCACCUGUUGAUGAACAUUUUGGUUGUUUCCAAGUUCUGGUUAUUUUUAAUAAAGUGGCUGUGAUUUUUUUUUUUUUUUUUUGAGCCAAAGUCUUGCUCUGUCACGCUGGAUGUACUGCAGUGGUGCGAUCUCGGCUCACUGCAACCUCCACAUCCCGGGUUCAAGUGUUUCUCUUGCCUCAGCCUCCUGAAUAGCUGGGAUUACAGGCAUGCGCCGCCACACCUGGGUAAUUUUUGAAUUUUGAGUAGAGAUGGGGUUUUGCCAAGUUGGCCAGGCUGGUCUCAAACUCCUGACCUCAAGUGAUCCACCUGCCUUGGACUCCCAAAGUGCUGGGAUUACAGGUGUGAGCCACCACGCCCAGCCUUGGCUGUGAUUAUUAAUGGACAAGUCUUUGUGUGGACAUAUUUCAUCUGUUUUAUCAAGACUAAAAUUAUAGAACUGAAAUUGCUGGAUUACAUAAAAAUAUGUAUUUAACUGAAUAAGACACUGCCAAACUGUUUUCCAAAGUGAUGGUACUUUUUUUUUUUUUUUUUUUUGAGACAGGGUCUUGCUCUGUCACCCAAGCUGGAAUGCAGUGGCGCGAUCUCAGCUCACUGCAACCUCCAUCUCCCGGAUUCAAGCGAUUCUCCUGCCGCAGCCUUCCAAGUGGCAGGGAUUACAGAAGCCUGCCACCAAGCCCCGCUAAUUUUUGUAUUUUUAGUAGAGAUGGGAUUUCGUCAUGUUGGCCAGGCUCGUCUCGAACUCCUGACCUCAGGUUAUCCACCUGGCUCCCAAAGUGCUGGAAUUUCAGGAGUGAGCCACUGCGCCCGGCCGAUGGUACUAUUUUUAAUUCUUGCCAGCAACAUAUGACAGGGUCAGGUAUUUCAAAUCCUUGCUAACAUUUGGUAUUUUCAUCCCUUUUUUAUUUAAUGCAUUUGAGUGGGCAAGUAGUUGCAUAUGAAUAUGGUUUUAAUAAGUGUUUUCCUGGUGACUAACACCAUUGAGUAUCUUCACAUGUGUUUUAUUGUUUACUUGUGUAUCUCCUUUGCCCACUGUUUCUAUUGAAUUGUCUGCCUUCUUAUUUUUGAGUUGUAAGAUGUGUUAGGACAUUCUUGUAUUGCUAUAAAGAAAUACUUGAGAUUGGGCAAUUUAUAAACAAAAGGGGUUUAAUUGGCAAGGUUCUGCAACCUGUACAGGAAGCAUGGUGCCAGCAUCUGCGUGCCUUCUGAAAAGGCCUCACAGAACUUUUACUCAUGGCGGAAGGCAAAGCGGGAGUCAGCACAUCAAAUGGCAAAGGCAGGAGCAAGAGAGAGUGAGGGGGGAGGUGCUACACACAUUUCAACAACCAGAUCUCACAGGAACUCAUCACCAUCCUGAAGACAGCACCAAGCCACAAGGGAACCGCCCCCAAGACUCAAACACCCUAUCAGGCCCCACCUCCAACACUGGGGAUUACAAUGCAACAUGAAAUUUGGGCGGGGCCAAAUAUUUAAACUAUAUCAUAAGACUUUUUACUACAUUCUGGAAAGCAGUCUUUGUCAGAUGUAUGUAUGGCAAAUAUUUUCUUCCAGCCUGUGGUUUUCCUUUUCAUUGUCUUAAUAUCUGUUGAAGAGCAAAGAUUUUUAUUUUGAUGGAAAAUAUACUGAUUUUUAUUCUAUGCUUCAUGCUUUUUGUGUCCUAUCAAAAAUUCUUUGCCUAUUCAGGGUUAUAAGCAUGCUCUCUUGUUUGUUUGUUUGUUUGUUUUGCUGGAGGUUUUAUAGUUUUUGCUUUCAAGUUUAGGUCUAUGAUCCAUUCCACGUUAACUUUUGUGUUCAAUGUGAAGAGUUAAGGUUCAUUUCUUUCUUAAGUGUUUGACAGAACGAAGCCAUGUCUGCCCAGAGGUCUAUUUGUGGGAAGAUUUUUAAACUACACGUUCAGGUUUUUUAAUAGGUACAGGACUAUUCAGGUAUUCUAUUUCUUUGUCUAUCCAUUUUGGUAUUUGCCUCUCUGGUAGGCAGAAUGACCUCCCAAGGAUGCCCAUAUCUUUGUCCCCUGAACCUAUAAAUGUGUUACUGUACAUGACAAAAGGGACUUUAAAAAUGUUAUUAAAGUAAAGGUCUGGAGAUGAGAAGUUCAUCCUGGAUUAUAUGGGUGGAUCCAAAGUAAUCACAAGUCUUUGUAAGAGGGAGGCAGGGCCUAUUCAACAAAUGAUGCUGGGAUAAUUGGCAAGCCACAUGUAGGAGAAUAAAACUGGAUCCUCAUCCCUCACCUUACACAAAAAUCCACUCAAGAUGGAUCAAGGACUUAAAUCUAAGACCUGAAAAAAUAAAAAUUUUAGAAGAUAACACUGGAAAAACCCUUCUAGACAUUGGCUUAGGCAAAGAUUUCAUGACCAAGAACCCAAAAGCAAAUGCAACAAAAACAAAGAGAAACAGGUGGGACUUACUUAAACUAAAAAACUUUUGCACGGCAAAAGAAACAAUCAGCAGAGUAAAAAGACAAUCCAGAGUGGGAGAAAAUCUUCACAAUCUAUACAUCCAACAAAAGACUAAUAUCCAGAAUCUACAAGGAACACAAACAAAUUAGCAAGAAAAAAGCAAACAAUCCCAUCAAAAAGUGAGCUAAGGACAUGAAUAGACAAUUCUCAAAAGAAGAUAUACAAAUGGCCAACAAACAUGAGAACACGAGUAACAUCACUAACGAUCAGGGAAAUGCAAAUCAAAAUCACAGUGUGAUACCACCUUACUCCUAUAAGAAUGGCCAUUAUCAAAAAAUCCAAAAGUAAUAGAUGUUGGCAUGGAUGCAGUGAAAAGGGAAAAUUUCUAACUGCUGGUGGGAAUGUAAACUAGUACAACCAUGAUUGAAAGCAGUGAGGAAAUUCCUUAAAGAACUAAAAGUAGAACUGUCAUUUGAUCCAUCAAUCCCACUAAGGGAUAUAUACCCAGAAGAAAAUAAGUCAUCAUAUGAAAAAGAUACUUGCACACGCAUGUUUAUAGCAGCGCAAUUCGCAAUUGCAAAAAUGUGGAGCCAGUCCAAAUGCCCCUCAAUCAAUGAGUGGAUAAAAAAAACUGUGGUAUAUGUAUGAUGGAAUACUACUCAGCCAUAAACAGGAAUGAAUUAAUGGCAUCCACAGCAACUGGAUGGAACUGGAGACUAUUAUUCUAAGUGAAGUAACUCAGGAAUGGAAAACCAAACAUCGUAUGUUCUCACUCCUAAGUGGGAGCUAAGUUAAGAGGAUGCAGAGGCAUAAGAAGGAUAAAAUGGACUUCAGGGGCUCAGGGGGAAAGGGUGGGAGGGGAUGAUGGACAAAAGACUACAAAUUGGGUUCAGUGUAUACUGCUUGGGUGAUGGAUGCAUCAGAAUCUCACAAAUCGCCACUAAAGACCUUACUCAUGUAACCAAAUACCACCUGUUCCCCCAAAACCUAUGGAAGUAAAAAAUUAAAAAAAAAAAAACAAGCCAGAGAUGGGAUGUGACCAGAGAAGCAGAGGUCGGAGUGAUGUGAUUGCUGCUGCGAGCCAGAAGCCAAGGAAUGCUGGCAGCCGGAGGAUGCUGGGAAAGGACGGAAACAGAUUCUCCCCUGGAGCCUGCAGAAGGAGCACAGUGCUGUCAAUACCUCUAUUUCAGCCAGAUGAAGCCCAGUUUAGACUCUUGGCUUCUGAAACUGUAAGAUACUAAAUCUGUGUAGUUUUGGGUCACUGUGUUUGUGGUAAUUUAUUACAGCUGCAAAUGGAAACUAAACUAGGUUUCUAAGGUGGAAACUUAGAGUAUUAAUUUUAGACUUUUCUUCUUUAUUAAUUUAAGCACUUAGAGCUGUAAAGUUCCUACCAAGCACUGCUUUUGCUGGAGCUCACAAAUUUUGUUUUCAUUUUCAUUCAGCGCAAAAUAUUUUGUAAUUUCCUUUGUUAUUUAAAAGUGGGCACGAAAGGUGGACUUUGGUGUUGUGCCUCGGUUGACCUUGUUAAGAAGAGUGACUGAGACAUGUCUCAAUCAAUUCCAGGUUUAAUUAGCCAAAUUUGAGGAUGUGCUGAGUCCCCACACCCCUUCUCCCCUCUGGCCUCAUGAAGCUUCUGCUUAAGGAGGGCUCCAUGUCCGUCUUUAGCAUCUCAGGGUGAAUUAAGUCCCUGCCCUCUAAGGGCAUUUUCAUGUGAAGCUUUGUUCUCUGUGACAUAAGGGGAGAGGGAGGUUUAGAGGAGCUAGGGGAGAGGUCCCAGGGGAUUUCCUUGCCCCACAGAUACAUCUCUCCACAGAGCAAAAUACAUGCAAAGUACCCGGCACAGUGCCCAGCACCCAGUCAGUGCUCAUGAAAUGUCGGUUCC